rnacentral:rRNA from 1 species
UACAGAGGUGGCAAGCGUUGUUCGGAAUUACUGGGCGUAAAGGGCGCGUAGGCGGUUCGUUAAGUCCUGUGUGAAAUCCCCCCGGCUCAACUGGGGAACUGCACAGGAAACUAGCGGGCUUGAGUUCGGGAGAGGGAAGCGGAAUUCCGGGUGUAGCGAUGAAAUGCGUAGAUAUCCGGAGGAACACCGGUGGCGAAGGCGGCUUGCCUGGACCGACACUGACGCUGAGGCGCGAAAGCUAGGGAGCAAACGGG